rnacentral:rRNA from 1 species
AUGGUGCGGCUUAGGUCAACUAAUACGAAUAAGAUACAGUUCACUCAACGAUUGCCCUUGGGUCCCGAACUCCAUAUGGGGAAGGAAUGUUGUUGUUUGCGAGGUCUCGAUCAUUUACAUGGACCCACUUCUCAUUCCAUUUGUGGGAAUUUGAUGAUUUAUAAACCAUCCCCAAUGAGCGAAAGGUUCAUGUUUGAACAUGAUGAAUCACUUCGUGCCGACCUGUUGCCCAUAUUUCCUGCCUCAUAUGAGAAGGGAAAACUGGAAGAUUUUCUGCAUCGGUGGAUGAAGAAUCACGAACAUAAGAAUUUCUGGUUUAGCAUGUUCGCAGAAAGAAGAUAUUUAUUUAUUCGAGAAACGAGGAGCACGACUGAAGUGGUUAUACAUACAAAUCCAUUUACAGAUCUAUACGCUCCGAUUGGAACUGGAAGUUCCAGAACUGGCGGCUGGUAUACCAAAAUAAUGAAAUUGCCUUUUAUUUUUAGUAUUCGGAUAGGAUUUCUAUUGGCUUCAUCAGGAGGCUCGUGUAGUUUGUUACGUCAACUCCAAAAGGAUAAGUUGCAUUGGAAUCAAGAAAGUUUCGUUCAUAAUUGCAUAAAAGGAGUAAAAAUAGUGGUUGCGGCGUGUCGAGGGUCAACCUUUGAUAUCGAUUAA